rnacentral:ribozyme from 1 species
UGCUUUGAGUCCUACCCUAACCUCCACGUGGUGCUGACUGGAAAUGGAAUUCCGGUUCCGGCCAACGGGGGAGG